AUUGAACGCUGGCGGCAGGCCUAACACAUGCAAGUCGAACGCAUGGCGGAAGGGUGAGUAAUGUCUGGGAAACUGCCCGAUGGAUGGGGAUAACUACUGGUAACUGUAGCUAAUACCGCAUACCAUGAGAUGUGCCCAAAUGGGAUUAGCUUGUGGGUGGGGUAACGGCUCACCAAGGCGACGAUCCCUAGCUGGUCUGAGAGGAUGACCAGCCACACUGGAACUGAGACACGGUCCAGACUCCUACGGGAGGCAGCAGUGGGGAAUAUUGGACAAUGGGGGAAAGCCUGAUGCAGCCAUGCCGCGGGUGUGAAGAAGGCCUUCGGGUUGUAAAGUACUUGCAGCGGGGAGGCGGUACCCGCAGAAGAAGCACCGGCUAACUCCGUGCCAGCAGCCGCGGUAAUAC
rnacentral:rRNA from 1 species